GGGGAUGUAGCUCAAUGGCAGAGCACUUGCCUAACAUGCAUGAGGCCCUGGGUUCCAUCCCCAACUCCCCA
rnacentral:tRNA from 1 species